rnacentral:lncRNA from 1 species
AAAACUUCUUUAACAUAGAUAGAUUUAUGUAACAUAGACACCCGAAAAUUGCGAUAUAGGUUGACAUCUAUUUCAAAUGAUAUCAAAAAUUAACUUUGAAUAUGGGUGUAUGUAAAAACACUGGCAACCAGCUUGUAUGCCAAUAUAUAAAAGUCUCAUUGACCCAUGUUUCAGUGUAUGCUGAUGUAGCUUCUAAAAUGUGAGAGGGCAAGGAAAUUAGACGUUACAGUACUUUUCACAAACUAAUCUGGCUUUAGUCUAUAUACUACAAGAAGUAAUAAGAAAAAUCAAUUUCAGAAGAUUACCAAUCCUUUCUUCCUGGCAUCUUUCAAAAACUCUUAAAAGUGAAUUUGGCAUUGACAGAUACUAAAUAGCGAUAAUUAUGUUAUAUCAGCAAAACGAGUAAUGAACAGUUUUAGUCUUCAACGGUUGAAAUUACUCAGCAAACAUGAAUUCAUUGAAGAAACUGAUUGUCGUUGCUCUAGCAUAAAGAUCGUUGCACGAUCGACCUGAUAAAAGAUGAAAUUACUUAUAUAUGCGAUUAAUUAAAAAAAGACAAUUAGUUUGUAAAUAAUCAGGUGAAUGGUAGCCUUUAUUAUAUGGCUGGUUGUGUUCAGCACAGGAUGUUGUGCAUAGUUAAUGUAACAAUAUCAGUUUUUCAGUUCCAAAAUUAAAAAUUAUGUUUCACAUAGUAAAUUGGGUUUUCUUACUCUUUUGCAUUUUAUUCGUUUUUGUUAUAUAUUAUUUAA